AUGAAAAACAUAUCUUCCUCUAAAGACUUACUCGCCAGGAUAUAAUAUCUUUACUUGGAUUACUGUGCUACCCAAUAUCAUCUGACAUAUCCCCCUGAUCUGAUGGGUUCUGCCGACUGCAUGGAACUUAUCCACUGCUUUUGGUCACUGUUUACACCGCCGGCCGGCUAUAAUCCCAUCCACAUUAAUGCAUAGCAGAUAUCUCGGUCAACUGUCAUGCUAUAUCAUCAUUACAAGUCAAAGUAAUAGAUAUUAAGUGACCCAAUGGGUUAAUCCAACGAACCGACCCGGUCCUAUAGGAUUAAAUAAAGCUAACACA
rnacentral:lncRNA from 1 species